rnacentral:rRNA from 1 species
UACGGGGGGGGCAAGCGUUGUUCGGAAUUACUGGGCGUAAAGGGCUCGUAGGCGGCCAACUAAGUCAGACGUGAAAUCCCUCGGCUUAACCGGGGAACUGCGUCUGAUACUGGAUGGCUAGAGAUUGGGAGAGGGAUGCGGAAUUCCAGGUGUAGCGGUGAAAUGCGUAGAUAUCUGGAGGAACACCGGUGGCGAAGGCGGUUCUCUGGGCCUUACCUGACGCUGAGGAGCGAAAGCGUGGGGAGCAACAGG